CCUACGGGAGUCAGCAGUGGGGAAUUUUGGACAAUGGGCGCAAGCCUGAUCCAGCUAUUCCGCGUGUGGGAUGACGGCCCUCGGGUUGUAAACUACUUUAGUAGAGAACGAAAGGGAGCUAUCGAAUAAAUAGCUCAGUUUACGGUACUCUCAGAAUAAGCACCGGCUAACUACGUGCCAGCAGCCGCGGUAAUACGGAGGGUGCGAGCGUUGAUCGGAAUUACUGGUCGUAAAGGGUGUGCAGGCGGCUGAGUAAGACAGAUGUGAAAUCCCCGGGCUUAACCUGGGAACCGCAUAUGUGACUGCUUGGCUAGAGGGCGUCAGAGGGGGGUAGAAUUCCAGGUGUAGCAGUGAAAUGCGUAGAGAUGUGGAAGAACACCGAUGGCGAAGGCGGCCUCCUGGAACACAACUGACGCUCAUACACGAAAGCGUGGGGAGCAAACAGGAUUAGAUACCCGAGUAGUC
rnacentral:rRNA from 1 species